rnacentral:rRNA from 1 species
AUUGAACGCUGGCGUCAGGCCUAACACAUGCAAGUCGAGCGAGCGGCGGACGCUUGAGUAAUGUAUGGGGACUGCCCGAUAGAGGGGGCUAACUACUGGAAACGGUAUCUACUACCGCAUACCAUCCUAUAACCCAUAUGGGAUUAGCUAGUAGGUGAGGUAAUGGCGCACCUAGGCGAAGAUCCCUAGCUGGUCUGAGAGGAUGAUCAGCCACACUGGGACUGAGAAACGGCCCAGACUCAUACGGAGGCAGAAGUGGGGAUUAUUGCACAAGGGGCGCAAGCCUGAUGCAGCCAUGCCGCGUGUAUGAAGAAGGCCCUAGGGUUGUAAAGGAAUUUCCGUCGGGAGGCGUUACCGACAGAAGAAUCACCGGCUAACUCCGUGCCAGCAGCCGCGGUAAUAC